UGUGAACUACUUGUGUCUUCUUGGAGGAGUAUGAAUUCAUUUACAGGCUGAUUUUAUCAUAAAUCCACAAUAAAAUUUCUGAGUUUCUGUAUCAAUCUGUGUUGCUGUUUGUUUAUUUUUAUUUUUUUUUAUUUUUCAUAGGAAGAUAACGGACCCUUUACUCUCCUUUUUAAUAAAUGUGCUUAUAUACCAAGAACAAGCUAUUUAUAGCUGUAUUUAUUAACUGCUUACUACUGACUAUUAAUUUUGGGACAUGGCUUUAUAAAGUGAGUGAAAGGUCAGUAUCAAAUGAGUUUGAAAUUAUUAUUUGCAGCACAAAUAAGGUUUUUUAGGAUUUUUAAAAAUCCCUAAAACUGUCAGAAAAGGAUAAGGCCUAAGAUAUUUCUAUGUGAGUGGCUAAAUUUAUUUUUGUUUUUAUAAUUAUAAUGCAUAAACUAUGAAAUUAUACAAAAUGUAUAAAAAAGUACAACAGUUAUUUUCCAAUGUUUUUCAUUUAUUUAUUUAUUUAAUUUAUUUUUUUGGAUUUACAUUUCAAAAAAUUAGCCUACUUCAAUCAUUCUAAACAGCUUGAAUAAUACCCGUUAAUAUUUAUUAUAGACCACUGUAACUGUCUAUAAUCUAACAAACAAGUUUAUUAUGAAAAUAAAAGUGUGUACACCAGAUACAUUGGACGAUAAAGAAAUUGCUAACAAGAGCAUGUUUUAGGUUUUUAGGCGUUUAGAUGCAGAAAUGGACAAAUCAAAUGUAAAAUAAAAUGUACUUGAUUUAAUUAAAUAUAGAUUAAUUCUUGUAAGAGCAAAAU